AGAAGUCUCGUUGUCACAUUGCAACUUAGGUGUCAAUUUAUUACCGGACUUUUGAACGAGUGACUCACAUUCCCAUCCGCUCCACUAGAAAGUCUAGUAGCAAUCAAUCAACCCCCUCAAGUUGCAGCUCCCAAGGCACUUCUUCUCCACCCCAUACCUCUUAGGUUCUAGUCAAUCGAUUCCCUAUCCAAACCCUCUUCCAAUCUCCAGAGUUGGAAGCAAUCGACCCCCUUCCAAAAUCCUAACUUAGAGCAGCCAUGGAUGAAGACUUGAAACUAAAGGAGGAGCAGGACCACGCUCUGCCACCAAGGACGAGUUGGGCGGGCACCAUGAGAAUGAAGGCGUGAGAAUCUAGAGACAUUUAGGAUCUGCACCAACAAGGAAACAUGGAGGUUGGAUCGUUGAUGGAUAGACAGGUUGUCAAGAGCUAGCCUUCUUCCGUUUGCGUGGAUGCUUGAGCUCAUGACUGCACGGCCAGGUCACUUCAAUUAUGACUUAUCAAUCCCCGCCACUCUUACCGACCGUUCGCAUCCCAAAAUGAACACGUUUCACUUGCCAUGCAAGGAUAUGAAGAUCACCUUGCAAGAUGUCUCAAUGCGCACUAACUUACCCAUAGUAGGGGAAGCCAUCACGCAUCAAUAUGCACCUGAUGACUCGCACACACACAUAGCAGGGGAAGUCAAAACUAUAAGGAUCCUAAAAAGACAACCAUGGAUCCACCUUGAAGUGGCUUCUUCACUUUAAGGUAUAAGGAUAUUUUCCAAAUACCGUCAGAUUUUCCUUGUCCAAUUAUUCGUGUGGAUUCUAUUUUGUGUAGAAUGUAUGUUAUGUUAUUUUUAUGCAAGAUGGACAUCAUGAAUCGUAAUGUGGACGAAGCAAAUGAUGAUCUAUUUAGUCAUUAGCUGGAGGCAUUCAUCCUGUUUUUAUUCGGUUCGGUGAUGUUUGCCAGCUCCCACGGCGACACCGUGGACAAGCGCAUAAACCGCAUAGCCAGGAUGAUCGAUGAUGUCGACCUGGAGAUGGCUCAACUCAUCUCUAUCUGAGCAAGACCUGGAGAUUGCUCGAUGUACCAUGAACUGAGCAAGGCCUGCACCAUGACAAGCAAAUACUUACGAUUUGUGAGUCCCUCUUCUCGUGCAGGUAUGGUCAUACAAAAACUUCACUAUCGGUAAGCCGUCGAUCGAGGGAAGCUCAUAUGGCGUGAGUUGUACGAUGUAGACGAGGUAGACAGUCCCAUUCUUGGCUCCAUCUGGUGUUGCCGCUAGCCAUGCAGGAAGGGGUGCAAUGCACAUAAUAGCUACCGGGUAUUCGAGAGUGAAGUUGACUACCUAGCUAUUGGUGACGUGACUUGCACAACAUACACCCAUGCGAGACUAGACUGCUGCACCACGAUGGGCCUCUCCAGCCUGUGCGUGCGAAACAAAGAAUACUGGUUGAUCGUAAAAAACUUGUUUUCAAGCACAUGCCAUUGCCCAUAAUCUUCACCCUGUCUUUAAUCUUUGGCCAUUUGAUCUUGAGGUGUGAGCAUGUACUCUAGCCACUACCUCAGUCAGACUGUGAAGGUAGGGUGUUGCCAAAUUUAUUGGCUCUCUCCAGAUCUUGGUUGUUGGAGUCAAUUAAGGGAAGAAGUCCACUAAAUCUUGUUGUGGUGAGUUCACUUAUUUUAAGUUGGUAUGUGGCAUAACUUACUUUCUCCAAUCCUCUAAAGUGGCGGUGAAGGACUGAUACAGAUAAAUAUGCAACCAAUGAAGAAUCAUCAAUCAAAGCACAUACUUAAGACUAGUUUUUUCAUUGUGUCACUCUACAAGAUAAAGGGUCACUCUACCAAUUUCACAAUUAUUUUUCAUUGUGUACUAAAGAUUGAACACUUCCAAGCGGACUAGAAUUAUGCAACACCACCAAUUUCACAAACACGUAAUUAAAGCAUGUCACUGAUUUCACGGUCUAAAAUGGACACCAGAGGUUGAAUGAUGAAAAUAGAGAUAUAAUUUGUUGUUAAUUCUUCCUGCACAUUCUCCUGGGAGAAACCACAUCAGCCCCGGCCUCACAUCUCGCAACCAACCGUUGAAGCUGAGAUCGGUUGAGUUUGAAGGCCGGCGGGUGGAGAAGAAAAGACACUCAUGUCACUGAAUUUUCUCUGCAGGCUAUUUUGAGGCAUGUCGCUGCAUCACUCAUGCCCAUCUUUGCUCCUGCUCUUGCAUGGAGAACCGCUUAUAAAUUCAUUGAGCUAUUG